rnacentral:lncRNA from 1 species
GAGAAAAGGAAAAAGUUGGAGUGACUCUCUAAGCAAAACAACUGCUUAAAGAUUAAAGAUGCACAGAGCACUUCUCCUGAAGGGCAGUCAACCAGAAUUCUGGAGUCAAAAGCAAGCAGCUGAAGAAUCUAGAAGGCUGAGGAACAUACGAACUGUGAAUACUGUAUUCUCAUGAGAAGAAGUAGAACAAUCCGGAGUCUGAACAAACAGUCCCUCGCAGAGAAAAAAGCUCGAGAGUGACAAGAUGCCGACAGAUUAUGACAGCUGCUGUG